AGCAGGUCAGGACUCGGUGCUGACUCUGCUCGGCCGGGGCAGAGGGUCCCCGGGACGGACGGUGACGGUGCCGCUGCCCGAGGGAGGAGAGAGGCACGCGGCCGGUGUCUCAGAGCAGAGCAGGGGGCACGGAGACCCAAGACCCCAGACACCCGGUCCGUCUGUCUGCUCAGGACGGCGCUGCCGGCGUCGCGGAAGCUGCCAAGCUACCUGAGAUGUCACUGAAAGAAGACGGGCGCAGGCAAGGCAGACACGUUCGGAAUGGUGGUCACACCGCGGUGCCACCAAGGCCCCACGUCUCACCCUGCGGCAGGACCUGCCCGGACCGGAAGUUGGAUGGCUGGUGACAACCUAACGCCCAUCCUCUCGUGGGGACAGAUCUCCAGGUAAUUUAAAAAAGCAAGACACAGCACAGGACCUACAGAGCACCAUCUUUCAGGAAAGAGCAGAGAAUCACACAAAAUCCACACUUAUUUGCCUGCAUUAAGAAAUUGCUGCUUGCAGACGAUGUGAAAAAAGUUUCCCGGCAUGUGGGACAGGAACGAGAUGUUCAGGGUUUUCCCUUUGAUACGUGGUUGUGAGAUUCUGCGGGGACCAGAUAAAAAUAUUUCCUACCUUCUCCUACAUGAAGAGGUUGUGUGUGUGGGUCACAGGGGCAGGAGACGAGUGGUGGAGGCCAGGCAGGUGUGGGCCGGGAAGCGGAUCCUCCCAUGGGAGCCCAGGAGCUUGGCCCAGCGGCGGGGCAAGCCGGGGCGCGGGCAGUGUGGGCGGCUCUGCUCUCCCGAUGCAGCUCAUUGCCAGCAGGAAGAGCAGGAGGCCAGAGGUGGGCUGAGGCGGCCUCCGAGGGCUCCCUGUGGAUCGGCACAAGGCCCCUCCCUCUCUCCUGCUGUCCUCCCUCUGCACCCCGUGGACUCCGUCAGGAGCUGCCUCCUGGGCCCCCCCAAGAAUGUGGGGUGGAAGGGAAGGGCAUCCGCAUGCAGCUGAGAGUGCCACUGCCAUGUUCCCAGCAGUGUGACCCCCAACCACGUAGAUGACAGAUCGUGCCACACACCCUGCUGCUUUCCUGCUUGGCCUCGGGGACGUUUGUAGGCCUGGGCUACUGUGGCCGCAGGGAGACCUGGACCCCCGCGUGUUCAUGUCCCAGCUAGAGCCCCACAAGUGGACCUUGCCUCGCUGAUGGAUGGAGGUGGCCCUGCAUGGUGGCCGGCACGGGGGUCUGGCCCAGGGUGCCUGUAUUUUCCAAGCCGACUGGAGUCCCACCCCUCCUGUCUGCUGAGCACUGGUGAGAAGUCUGCUCCCUAUUUAAGGCAGCCUGGAAGCAGCUGAUCCCUCUGACACAGCCAGACUUCAGUCUCGGCCUCGCACACCUGCGGGAGUGCUGCCAGCUGCACCCCAGGCCAGACCACGCAGAGGCCCGGCCCCUGGCCUGCUGCCCUGACGCCUCCCCAUGUGCCCGAAGUUCGCCUGACUUCCAGGUAAUGAAUAAACUCCAAGCGGCUUUUGGAUUCCAAGUCCCCUUUCCGCCCCAGAUUGAGUUCACUCAAGACUUACUGUAUUUCAGUUCGUUUCAGUCUUCAUCGAAAGAGAAAGCCUCUUGCGUCUCUCUCCCCAAAACAAAGUCUAAGGUCCCUGUGAGCCUGGGACCUGAGUCGGAGAAUCCCAAGAGGAGCCGAGGGCUGAGUGAGUUGGGUUGGGGCGCUUGAGAUCGCCCUGACUCAGCUUACUCAGACUCCUCCACCAACCACGGGGAUGCCAGCUCUAGCGCGGGACCUGGCCAGUGGGGCAACCAGGGGACAGUCACCCCCAUAGCAACCAAUGAACCCGAAAAGCCAGGUGGCUCCUGGCCGCUGACUGACUCUGCGAGACCCCGGGAAACUCCUCCCGGCAGCUGCUCAUCCGCUCUGGGAAGAGAAAAGUCAGAAAGUCUGCACCUUUCCAGGCUCACUGCGCAGUAAGCUUGUGAAAUGCACCGCCAUUAAAAGAAGACAAAAACCUUUCUUGUUUCAGGAUGGCAACCAGACACGCACAGCUAAGCACUUUUAUGAUACCCAAUAAAACCUGACAUAAUAAAACAAACAUUUACGGGACACCAGAAAUGAUUUCCAAGAGACUUGGCCGGAAGCGGAGCUAGCGGCAGUUCGGUUGGGAGACACCUUCAGCCCAGCCCCGGCCCCACCCUGGCUGCCAGCUGCCUCCUCACGAGGCCCUGUCUUUCCAAAGAGGGAAACUGAGGGGCUCCGGGUGUAGGACCACAGGCCUCCUACGGGUGGCGCUGUCCUCGGCUGAGCGCUUUCCUGCAGAAGAGGCAGGAAGAUGGGCGGGGUUAUCUUCUUGCCCUUGGGUCAGGCCCAGGCCCUAGGUAGGGACAGCAAGACUUAACCGAAGGGGCUCAGAAAGGGCUGGGGGGACGGGGUACCACCGCCCACCGCAGAUCCCGCCCUGGGCUUGUCAGGGUCACCAGGAGCUCGGCCGGCAAGCGCAGCCCACGGCGCAGACCCCGGAGCCAUGGCUUCCACAGCGCCAGGGUCGGAGGCCUCUCCUGGAGAUAAACGGACCUAGAAACUACUGCUCGUGCUCACUGCAAGGUGUUGGCAUUGAACUCGAGGACUUUCGGGCCGUGACCAGCAAUCCUUCCACAGGAAGUCAAUAGGCUAGAAUUGGUCGUGAGUAACGGCAGCACAUUAUUACGUCCGCGCGCUCACUGGGCUGAAAAAGGAGAGAACCGGGCCACAUGCAUCCCACCACCCGUUUCUGCAUUUCCUUCUGGACUUUCCAAAAUGUGUUACAUAUUUUUAAGCUAAUUAUAAUUGUAAUAAUGACCUGCAAGUUCCACACUGCCUUUCUCCUAUUUAAUGUAUAACUAGCUUCAUGUAUUACUGAUUCUUUUUAAAGUUUCUAAUAGAAAGGAACAUGAAACUGAGGCCUAGGAGAAUUCGUUUGUUGAAUAUAUAUUAACAUCGCUACCCAUGUCACCUUCAGACACGGCGAUGAUGGCGAUGUUGCCUAGUUGCUGUCUGGCAGGGCUUUUUAAAAUGACUGAAGCUUUUUAGAUUUGGGGGAAAUGUUACAACUUCACAUAGCUGUUUUCCUGUUUUAAGAAUAGCACUGUGCUCAGGACACAAGGCUGGGAAAGGUAAUUUAAUGCGAAUGUUUGCUGAACACGGACUGCAGGCGAUGCUCAGGAGCCCGGUUCCCCCAGAGCAGCUCGUUUAAUCCUCGCAGCACCGAAGGAGGCCCAGGGGUGAAGUCACUUGAGCGCCCUCUAUACUCACAGAGCCCUGUGAGGCAGCGAUGUCCCCCAGGAGAACCCUCAGGGGUUUGUUCGGUCCGGAGGAUGCUGUCCCCUCGUAGUUAUGGGAAGUCCUUGCCCACCUGGGCCUGGGUCCCCGUGGAACAAUUAGGACACUCACAGGUCACCCGUGGCGUGAGCUGGGGUUCCCGUAAGUGGGAUUCUCUGUGCCUGGUGCACAUUAAGGGGGGAGGGGACAGGGAGGGGGAGAGGAUGCUCCGCCGGGUUUGUGGUAAAGAUGGAAGUGUUUUUUUAAAUUGCACAAAUUUCAGCAAUGAGCCAAUGCUGGAUAAGUAGAUUUCCCAAAUGAACCGAACGACCACUUGCACAGAAGUCAGAAACACAGCGAAGACGACAUACACUGGGCCCUGAAGCCUCCAGGGCUUAUCUGGGGGCCCUGGGCCAUAGAGUUCACACUUUAAUUAAAAUCAGACUCGGUGAAAGACAAAUACUUCAGUUCCUGGUUUCAUUUCCCGCCCAAGACCAAUAAACACAACCACUUGAAAGAAAAGUUCUUUUACUCUGCAACUGUACCUUCAGCACUAAAAGCAAAAAGACAAAUCGUAAUUGUUCAUAUGCGGUGGCAGACUGUAACACACAUUCACAUACACCUCACACUCAGAAAUCAAGCGCUUUUUUCUAAAGCUUCCCUCUCACAUUUUCUAAAGGUUCAAGCUCCCAUUUUACAAUUUAUCCAACAGCCUGCUGAUUGGGUAGCUAGAUAACUAAACUGGCUAAUCACUGAACAUUUGCUAUGGGUUAGAUCCUCUCACAAGUGUUCCUCAAAGACAGCAUACCACACAUUCAUCAAAACCCUAAGGCCAGAGACCACCGCCACUCCUAGGUCACAAAUCAGUCUGAAAGAGGUUAAGUAACUAAUAGUACUUUUGCUGCCUGACACCCAAGUGCACAACCCAAACCACUGUACAUCUGCUUCUCUUUCCAAGUUAGGGCUCAGAAAAAUUUACUUGACUUCCAAUAGUUUACCUUUCUAGGUCAGGCUAGAGCUGAAAUAAAAACAAAACCCAAGGAACACACCCACUUCAUGCAAGUCCAACCCGGUAAAUGACAUAAUGCUAAAUCGGAUUUGUUUUCCUGCUACAGAGAGGUAUUUAACAUAAAAACAAAACUUGCUUGGUGUCAGCUAACCGCUGGCUCAAGUUUUUCCACUCACGACUUGACACACCAAAGUGUGUCCUA